rnacentral:rRNA from 1 species
AACGAACGCUGGCGGCAGGCUUAACACAUGCAAGUCGAGCGCGUAGCAAUACGAGCGGCAGACGGGUGAGUAACGCGUGGGAAUCUACCGUACCCUACGGAAUAGCUCCGGGAAACUGGAAGUAAUACCGUAUACGCCCUUAGGGGGAAAGAUUUAUCGGGGUAUGAUGAGCCCGCGUUGGAUUAGCUAGUUGGUGGGGUAAAGGCCUACCAAGGCGACGAUCCAUAGCUGGUCUGAGAGGAUGAUCAGCCACAUUGGGACUGAGACACGGCCCAAACUCCUACGGGAGGCAGCAGUGGGGAAUAUUGGACAAUGGGCGCAAGCCUGAUCCAGCCAUGCCGCGUGAGUGAUGAGGGUCUUAGGAUUGUAAAGCUCUUUCACCGAUGAAGAUAAUGACGGUAGUCGGAGAAGAAGCCCCGGCAAACUUCGUGCCAGCCGCCGCCGUAAUAC